GCUUGUCUCAAAGAUUAAGCCAUGCAUGUCUAAGAAUAAACCCCAGAAUGGUGAAUCUGCGAAUGGCUCAUUAAAUCAGUUAUUGUUUAUUUGAUGGUACCUUACUACAUGGAUAACCGUAGUAAUUCUAGAGCUAAUACAUGCGUCAAGCCCCGACUUCGGAAGGGGUGCAUUUAUUAGAUUCAAACCAUCAGUCCUUUACGGGACUUUUGAUGGCGAGUCAUAAUAACUUUCGGAUCGAUUUAUCGAUGCAUCAUUCAAGUUUCUGCCCUAUCAGCUUUGGAUGGUAGGGUAUUGGCCUACCAUGGCUUUAACGGGUAACGGAGAAUUAGGGUUCGAUUCCGGAGAGGGAGCCUGAGAAAUGGCUACCACAUCCAAGGAAGGCAGCAGG
rnacentral:rRNA from 1 species